AAGAGGAAUGAGGAUAAUUAUCCAAAGUCUAUAAAUCUGAACCAUAGUGUUGAAUCAAUGACAUGCACUACCAUCUGACCUCUU
rfam:Arabidopsis lyrata subsp. lyrata unplaced genomic scaffold ARALYscaffold_4, whole genome shotgun sequence.